rnacentral:rRNA from 1 species
CCUACGGGCGGCAGCAGUGGGGAAUAUUGGACAAUGGGGGGAACCCUGAUCCAGCCAUACCGCGUGUGUGAAGAAGGCCCUCGGGUUGUAAAGCACUUUCAGUGAGGAAGAACGCCUGGUGGUUAAUACCCAUCAGGAAAGACAUCACUCACAGAAGAAGCACCGGCUAACUCCGUGCCAGCAGCCGCGGUAAUACGGAGGGUGCGAGCGUUAAUCGGAAUUACUGGGCGUAAAGCGCGCGUAGGUGGCUUGAUAAGCCGGUUGUGAAAGCCCCGGGCUCAACCUGGGAACGGCAUCCGGAACUGUCAAGCUAGAGUGCAGGAGAGGAAGGUAGAAUUCCCGGUGUAGCGGUGAAAUGCGUAGAGAUCGGGAGGAAUACCAGUGGCGAAGGCGGCCUUCUGGACUGACACUGACACUGAGGUGCGAAAGCGUGGGUAGCAAACAGGAUUAGAUACCCUUGUAGUC